rnacentral:rRNA from 1 species
CAGUAGCCGCGGGAAUACGGAGGGGGCUAGCGUUGUUCGGAAUUACUGGGCGUAAAGCGCACGUAGGCGGCUUUGUAAGUCAGAGGUGAAAGCCUGGAGCUCAACUCCAGAACUGCCUUUGAGACUGCAUCGCUUGAAUCCAGGAGAGGUCAGUGGAAUUCCGAGUGUAGAGGUGAAAUUCGUAGAUAUUCGGAAGAGCACCAGUGGCGAAGGCGGCUGACUGAACUGGUAUUGACGCUGAGGUGUGAAAGCGUGGGGAGCAAACAGGAUUAGAUACCCCGGUAGUCCCUGUCUCUUAUAC